rnacentral:rRNA from 1 species
GACGAACGCUGGCGGCGUGCUUAACACAUGCAAGUCGAACGAAAAGACCAGGAGCUUGCUGCUCUCACGUUAGCGGCGGGCGGGUGAGACACGCGUGGAUAACCCCCCUAUAAGAGUGGGAUAAAUUCGGGAAACCGGAGCACAUACCAGAUAAUCUAUUGACCCGCAUGGGGCAAUAGUGAAUGUCGGCUUUGCUGUCACUUCUCGAUGGAUCCGCGCGUCAUUAGCUGGUUGGUAAGGUAACGGCUUACCAAGGCAGCGAUGCGUGACCGACGUGAGAGGGGGAUCGGCGACACUGGAGCUGAGACGCGGUCCAGGCACCUACGGGAGGCAGCAGUAGCGAAUGGUCGGCAAUGGGGGGAAGCCUGACGGAGCGGCGGCACGCGAGUGAUGAAACUCUUCGGAUCGGAAAACUGUGUUAUUGGUGAAAAACAACUUUGUAAGUAACUAAGCACUGCGUGACGGUACUGGGUCAAGAAGCAACGGCUAACUACGUG